GACGAACCGUGCGAACGUUGUUCGGAUUCACUGGGCUUAAAGGGCGCGUAGGCGGGCCGUCAAGUCGAGGGUGAAAGCCCGCAGCUCAACUGCGGAAGUGCCUUUGAAACUGGCGGCCUCGAGGGAGGUAGGGGCAUGCGGAACUUCCGGUGGAGCGGUGAAAUGCGUAGAUAUCGGAAGGAACGCCGGUGGCGAAAGCGGCGUGCUGGACCUCUUCUGACGCUGAGGCGCGAAAGCCAGGGGAGCAAACGG
rnacentral:rRNA from 1 species